GAUCAUGGCUACAGAACGAACGCUGGCGGCAGGCUUAACACAUGCAAGUCGAGCGCCCGCAAGGGAGCGGCAGACGGGUGAGUAACGCGUGGGAACAUACCCUUUGGUUCGGAAUAACUCAGGGAAACUUGAGCUAAUACCGGAUACGUCCGUAAGGAGAAAGAUUUAUCGCCAAAGGAUUGGCCCGCGUCCGAUUAGCUAGUUGGUGAGGUAACGGCUCACCAAGGCUACGAUCGGUAGCUGGUCUGAGAGGAUGAUCAGCCACAUUGGGACUGAGACACGGCCCAAACUCCUACGGGAGGCAGCAGUGGGGAAUAUUGGACAAUGGGCGCAAGCCUGAUCCAGCCAUGCCGCGUGAGUGAUGAAGGCCUUAGGGUUGUAAAGCUCUUUUGUCCGGGAAGAUAAUGACUGUACCGGAAGAAUAAGCCCCGGCUAACUUCGUG
rnacentral:rRNA from 1 species